GAGUUUGAUCAUGGCUCAGGACGAACGCUGGCGGCGUGCCUAACACAUGCAAGUCGAGCGAUGAAACCCUUCAAGAUGGAUUAGCGGCGGCCGGGUGAGUAAAAAAAAAAUAACCUGCCUCAAAGAGGGGGAUAGCCUCCCGAAAGGGAGAUUAAUACCGCAUAACAUUAUUUCUUCGCAAAAAGAGAUAAUCAAAGGAGUAAUCCGCUUUGAGAUGGACCCGCGGCGCAUUAGCUAGUUGGUGAGGUAAUGGCUCACCAAGGCAACGAUGCGUAGCCGACCUGAGAGGGUGAUCGGCCACAUUGGAACUGAGAUACGGUCCAGACUCCUACGGGAGGCAGCAGUGGGGAAUAUUGCGCAAUGGGGGAAACCCUGACGCAGCAACGCCGCGUGGGUGAAG
rnacentral:rRNA from 1 species